rnacentral:rRNA from 1 species
GACGAACGCUGGCGGCGUGCUUAACACAUGCAAGUCGAACGGAAAGGCCCUGCUUUUGUGGGGUGCUCGAGUGGCGAACGGGUGAGUAACACGUGAGUAACCUGCCCUUGACUUUGGGAUAACUUCAGGAAACUGGGGCGAAUACCGGAUAGGAGCUCCUGCUGCAUAGUGGGGGUUGGAAAGUUUCGGCGGUUGGGGAUGGACUCGCGGCUUAUCAGCUUGUUGGUGGGGUAGUGGCUUACCAAGGCUUUGACGGGUAGCCGGCCUGAGAGGGUGACCGGCCACAUUGGGCCUGAGAUACGGCCCAGACUGCUACGGGAGGCAGCAGUGGGGAAUAUUGCACAAUGGGCGGAAGCCUGAUGCAGCAACGCCGCGUCCGGGAUGACGGCCUUUGGGUUGUAAACCGCUUUCGCCUGUGACGAAGCGUGAGUGACGGUAAUGGGUCAAGAAGCACCGGCUAACUACGUG